rnacentral:rRNA from 1 species
AAUCAACGCUGGCGGCGUGCCUCAGACAUGCAAGUCGAACGAUUAAACUUUCCUUCGGGAAAGAUAUAAAGUGGCGCACGGGUGAGUAACACGUAGAUAAUGUACCUUUGGGUGGGGAAGUAACAGUCGGAACGACUGCUAAUACCGCAUAAUGCAGCGGCAUCGCAAGAUGACAAUUGUUAAAGCGAGCAAUCGCGCCUAAAGAGCAGUCUGCGGCAGAUUAGGUAGUUGGUAAGGUAAUGGCUUACCAAGCCUGCGAUCUGUAACCGACCUGAGAGGGUGGUCGGUCACACUGACACUGAAUAACGGGUCAGACUCCUACGGGAGGCAGCAGUC